AGAGUUUGAUCCCGGCUCAGGAUAAACGCUGGCGGUGUGCUUUAUGCAUGCAAGUCGAACGAAUCAUUUCGGUGAUUAGUGGCAGACGGGUGAGUAACACGUAAGUAACCUGCCCUUAAGUGGGGAAUAACUCUGAGAAAUCGGAGCUAAUACCGCAUGUGGUGAUGGAGUUUAUGCUUUAUUACUAAAGCCUUAGGGCGCUAAAGGAGGGGCUUGCGUCCGAUUAGCUUGUUGGUGAGGUAACGGCCCACCAAGGCUUCGAUCGGUAGCUGGUUUGAGAGGAUGAUCAGCCACACUGGGACUGAGAUACGGCCCAGACUCCUACGGGAGGCAGCAGCAAGGAAUAUUGGGCAAUGGGCGAAAGCCUGACCCAGCGACACCGCGUGGAGGAAGAAGGCCUUCGGGUUGUAAACUCCUUUUCCCGGGGAAGAAUAAUGACGGUACCCGGGGAAUAAGUCUCGGCUAACUACGUGCUAGCAGCCGCGGUAAUACGUAGGAGGCGAGCGUUAUCCGGAUUUACUGGGCGUAAAGGGGGCGUAGGCGGCAUGUCAAGUCGGAUGUGAAAUCUCCCGGCUAAACUGGGAGGGUGCAUUCGAUACUGAUAGGCUAGAGUGCAGCAGAGGAAAGCGGAAUUCCCGGUGUAGUGGUGAAAUGCGUAGAUAUCGGGAAGAACACUAGUGGCGAAGGCGGCUUUCUGGGCUGUUACUGACGCUGAGGCCCGAAGGCGUGGGUAGCAAACAGGAUUAGAUACCCUGGUAGUCCACGCAGUAAACGAUGGAUACUAGGUAUGGGGGGUAUCGACCCCCUCCGUGCCGAAGCUAACGCUUUAAGUAUCCCGCCUGGGGACUACGGUCGCAAGACUAAAACUCAAAGGAAUUGACGGGGGCCCGCACAAGCAGCGGAGCGUGUGGUUUAAUUCGAUUCAACGCGAAGAACCUUACCAGGGCUUGACAUGGUGGAAGUAGUGAACCGAAAGGGGAACGACCUGUUAAGUCAGGAGCCAUCACAGGUGCUGCAUGGCUGUCGUCAGCUCGUGCCGUGAGGUGUCGGGUUAAGUCCCAUAACGAGCGCAACCCUUGUUGCCAGUUAAUUUCUCUGGCGAGACUGCCCCGCAAAACGGGGAGGAAGGCGGGGAUGAUGUCAAGUCAGUAUGGCCCUUAUGCCCUGGGCUACACACACGCUACAAUGGGUGGUACAAUGGGUCGCAAUGGAGCAAUCCGGAGCUAAUCCUUUAAAACCAUCCUCAGUUCGGAUUGUAGGCUGAAAUUCGCCUGCAUGAAGUUGGAGUUGCUAGUAACCGCAAAUCAGCACGUUGCGGUGAAUACGUUCUCGGGCCUUGUACACACCGCCCGUCACGUCAUGAAAGUCGGCAACAUCUGAAGUCGAUGAGCCAACCCUGCUUGCAGGGAGGCAGUUGCCUAGGGUGAGGUCGGUGAUUGGGACGAAGUCGUAACAAGGUA
rnacentral:rRNA from 1 species